UGAGGAAUAUUGGUCAAUGGACGAAAGUCUGAACCAGCCAUGCCGCGUGCAGGAUGACGGCCCUACGGGUUGUAAACUGCUUUUAUAAGGGAAUAAACCCCCCGGCGUGUCGGGGGCUGAAGGUACCUUACGAAUAAGGAUCGGCUAACUCCGUGCCAGCAGCCGCGGUAAUACGGAGGAUCCAAGCGUUAUCCGGAUUCAUUGGGUUUAAAGGGUCCGCAGGCGGGUUAUUAAGUCAGUGGUGAAAUCCUGCAGCUUAACUGUAGAACUGCCAUUGAUACUGGUAAUCUUGAGUGUGGUUGAAGUGGGCGGAAUGUGUCAUGUAGCGGUGAAAUGCAUAGAUAUGACACAGAACACCGAUUGCGAAGGCAACUCACUAAGCCAUUACUGACGCUCAGGGACGAAAGCGUGGGGAGCGAACAGGAUUAGAUACCCUGGUAGUCCACGCCGUAAACGAUGAUCACUCGCUGUUGGCGAUACACAGUCAGCGGCCAAGCGAACGCAUUAAGUGAUCCAACUGGGGAGUACGCUCGCAAGAGUG
rnacentral:rRNA from 1 species